rnacentral:rRNA from 1 species
AAGUCGUAACAAGGUUUCCGUAGGUGAACCUGCGGAAGGAUCAUUACUGAGUUAGGGUCCUCAUGGCCCGACCUCCAACCCUUGUGUUUAACUAUACCACGUUGCUUCGGCGGGCCCGUCCUCUGUCACCGGAGGACCGCCGGAGGGUUUCAACCCCCCUCUGGCCCGUUGCCCGUCGAUAGCCCAACCCUUCAAACUCUUGAAUCAAACCAUGUCGUCUGAGUUCAAAUUUUAUAAUUAAAAUAAAACUUUCAACAACGGAUCUCUUGGUUCUGGCAUCGAUGAAGAACGCAGCGAAAUGCGAUAAGUAAUGCGAAUUGCAGAAUUUCAGUGAGUCAUCGAAUCUUUGAACGCACAUUGCGCCCUUUGGUAUUCCGAAGGGCAUGCCUGUUCGAGCGUCAUCAUCACCUCUCAAGCCUGGCUUGUUGUUGGACUUUCGGUCUGGGCUCGCCCCCGACCGGUCCCAAAAGUAAUGACGGCGUCCGUGGGACUCUCGGUGCAACGAGCUUUUUAAGCACGCACGGAGUUGAAAGGCCCCCCGGCACGGUCUUGUAACCAUUUUUCUAAGGUUGACCUCGGAUCAGGUAGGAAUACCCGCUGAACUUAAGCAUAUCAAUAAGCGGAGGAAAAGAAACCAACAGGGAUUGCCUCAGUAACGGCGAGUGAAGCGGCAAAAGCUCAAAUUUGAAAUCUGGCCCUUUCAGGGUCCGAGUUGUAAUUUGUAGAGGAUAUUUCGGACACCGCCCCGGGUUAAAUUUCUUGGAACAGAAUGUCAUAGAGGGUGAGAGCCCCGUCUUGACCGGGUGUAGGAUCUAUGUGAAAUUCCUUCGACGAGUCGAGUUGUUUGGGAAUGCAGCUCAAAAUGGGUGGUAAAUUUCAUCUAAAGCUAAAUAUUGGCCAGAGACCGAUAGCGCACAAGUAGAGUGAUCGAAAGAUGAAAAGCACUUUGAAAAGAGAGUUAAACAGUAUGUGAAAUUGUUGAAAGGGAAGCGCUGGCAACCAGACUUGAGCGCGGCGGUUCCCCCUUGCUUCUGCUUGGGUUAUUCCGUCGUGUCCAGGCCAACAUCGGUUCUAGGGGUCGGUUAAAGGCCCUGGGAAUGUAUCUAUCCUUCGGGGUCGACUUAUAGCCCAGGGUGUCAUGCGGCCACCCGGGACCGAGGAACGCGCUUCGGCACGGAUGUUGGCGUAAUGGUUGUCAGCGGCC